rnacentral:lncRNA from 1 species
GCGCGGGCCACGUGAGGAGAUUCUGGAGCCUUCAGGUUGUCCCCCGUGCGCAAGCAGCAGGACGAGGCCCAGGACUUUUCGGGCCUGCACGUUUGCUGAGAGUGGUGUUCUUGUGGCGGGGGCGGAAGGUGGACGUCUUAGGAAGCCUUGCGACCCAGUCGGGACCCCCACAGGGACUCCGCAGUGCCUGGGGAUUGCCUGGACCUCGCCCGGGAAAGGCUGUCGGGGAGCUGCCCAAAGGCCACCUACAAGGGAUCCUAGGAAGGCUGGCCGUGUACGUCCUGGGUAAUCAACAGUUACGCAGACAAGCACAUUACACUCCAUGGGAGCUGUCCUUUCAAGAACUUGGUUUUGAACUGUAGAGGCUCCCACUGUGUCUUCUGAAGGUCAUGGUAAGAAAAAAUCCUGUCUACUGAGAAUGUGAGAGAGAGAUUUUGAUGGACAGUAAAUACAUCAUUUUAGAAGUGUGCUUUGGUAUCAAUUGAUCAGCUUUUGCCUCACCUAUUUUGAUAAGGAUUCUCAUAAUGAUAAAUAUAUCAAUUCUCCAAAAGACAGCAAUUUUAAAUGUGUAUGCGCCUAACAAAAAGGAUUUCAAAAUGCAGAUCCUGCUACCCACCUCCCCCAACAACAACUUGGCAUUCAUCCACAGACAUGGUGACUUUCUGGGAGAUGAGAGAUUUCAGCAUCAGGUACUAAGGGUCCUUGGAGGAGUCUUGCCCAUCCAUGUGGCGGGAAUUGGUCCUGCCUGUGGACACUGUAGUAGCCCAUGAAUCUGCUCCAGCUCUGCUCAGCUGGGCUCCAGAAGUCCCUAAAGAACACUGAUUCUGACAAUCACUCAUGGGGCCACACAGAUCUGAGUCAAGUCUGAGACUUACACCACAGCUCACAGCAACACGGGAUCCCUAACCCACUGAGCGAGGCCAGGGAUCGAACUUGCGUCCUCAUGCAUAUAAGUCAGAUUCAUGUCCACUUAGCCACGACAGGAACUCCCUAAAUAUAUUUGUUAAUAAACCAAUGGUUCUCCAGACUUUUCAGCGUACUGAGUGCUAAAGCAAACAAGAGAUUCUUCUCAAAAUAUGUCGGUGGCUUGAGAGAUGUCAUUACCAAGUGGUGAUCUAUACAGAAGGUGAACUCUUCCUUUGGCUGUACUGUCAGGAAUAUUCAUGUUCAAGAACACAUGUUUGGCAUCUCCUGUUGAUUUUGAUGCAGUGUCUUCCCCCUUUUGGAUGUUGUCUCUCGGGCAUUAUGGUCCCCAGUGUGGACAACGAGGGUACUUGAGCCGUGUGGAGGGUCCUUCAUUGGAACGCGUAGCAUCAGUGGAGAUCAUGGUGGCUCCUGAUUUCCACUUCAUUUUCAAGGGCACUUGUGAUGAAGAUGUGGGGCUCCUCUUGACUGAGAAGAUCAGGCUUAGGCACGCGAGGAAUCCACUUCCAAUACGCUUCUGUGAGAUAAUAGACUAUACGUUGGUCUCUGCCACCACUGCCUGGCACAGAGCUCCUGAAACCCGUGUCAUUUCCUAGGUGAUAGGUGUGUCUUUUUAUUCUCAUGGGGUAACUCUGGGUGGGCUUCUGCAUGG